UACGUAGGUGGCAAGCGUUGUCCGGAAUCACUGGGCGUAAAGCGCACGUAGGCGGAUUGCUAAGUCAAGGGUGAAAUCCUGGAGCUCAACUCCAGAACUGCCUUUGAUACUGGUGAUCUUGAGUCCGGGAGAGGUGAGUGGAACUGCGAGUGUAGAGGUGAAAUUCGUAGAUAUUCGCAAGAACACCAGUGGCGAAGGCGGCUCACUGGCCCGGUACUGACGCUGAGGUGCGAAAGCGUGGGGAGCAAACAGG
rnacentral:rRNA from 1 species